GGGGUAGGGGAGUAAACACAAGGGUUAAAGGAAUGUUAUGGCUAGUUGUUAAACAACGGUUAGAGGAAUGUUAUGGCUAGUGGUUAAACGAUGGUUGGAGGAAUGUUAUGGCUAAUUGUUAAACAACGGUUAGAGGAAUGUUAUGGCUAGAGGUUAAACACAAGGGUUAGAGGAAUGUUAUGGCUAGUGGUUAAACAACGGUUAGAGGAAUGUUAUGGCUAGAGGUUAAACAACGGUUAGAGGAAUGUUAUGGCUAGUGGUUAAACACAAGGGUUAGAGGAUGUUAUGGCUAGUGGUUAAACACAAGGUUAGAGGAAUGUUAUGGCUAGUGGUUAAACACAAGGGUUAGAGGAAUGUUAUGGCUAGUGGUUAAACACAAGGGUUAGAGGAAUGUUAUGGCUAGUGGUUAAACACAAGGGUUAGAGGAAUGUUAUGGCUAGUGGUUAAACACAAGGGUUAAAAGGAAUGUUAUGGCUAGUGGUUAAACAACGGUUGGAGGAAUGUUAUGGCUAGGAUUAAACACAAGGGUUAGAGGAAUGUUAUGGCUAGUGGUUAAAUAACGGUUGGAGGAAUGUUAUGGCUAGAGGUUAAACCAAGGGUUACAGGAAUGUUAUGGCUAGUGGUUAAACAACGGUUAGAGGAAUGUUAUGGCUAGAGGUUAAACGGUUAGAGGAAUGUUAUGGCUAGUGGUUAAACAACGGUUAGAGGAAUGGUAUGGCUAGUGGUUAAACACAAGGGUAAGAGGAAAGUCUAAUUUGUGUCGUAUUAACUC